UACAGAGGUCCCAAGCGUUGUUCGGAUUCACUGGGCGUAAAGGGUGCGUAGGCGGUUUGAUAAGUCUGAUGUGAAAUCCCGCAGCUUAACUGCGGAACUGCAUUGGAAACUAUUUGACUAGAGGAAUGGAGGGGAGACUGGAAUACUUGGUGUAGCAGUGAAAUGCGUAGAUAUCAGGAGGAAUACCGAUGGCGAAGGCAGGUCUCUGGGCUGACACUGACGCUCAUGCACGAAAGCGUGGGGAGCAAACAGG
rnacentral:rRNA from 1 species